rnacentral:rRNA from 1 species
UACGUAGGGGGCAAGCGUUGUCCGGAAUUAUUGGGCGUAAAGAGCUCGUAGGCGGUUCAGUAAGUCGGGUGUGAAACCCCCAGGCUCAACCUGGGGACGCCACCCGAUACUGCUGUGACUAGAGUCCAGUAGGGGAGUGUGGAAUUCCCGGUGUAGCGGUGAAAUGCGCAGAUAUCGGGAGGAACACCAGCGGCGAAGGCGGCACUCUGGGCUGGAACUGACGCUGAGGAGCGAAAGCGUGGGUAGCAAACAGG